GAUGGCUUAAUUAUUGGUAGUGUUGUUUGCAGAUAUGGAGUGUGUGUGCAUUUGAGAUGUCAAGAAGCAUUUGAAGCAGGAAGGGAGGUAUAAAAUUGAUUCUCAAGUUACCCUUUUUGGUGUUUGCUUUGUCUGGUUUUUUCUCGGUGAGUUACAUACAAUUUUCAUUCUUUUGUUUUCAUUGAUGUCCCAAAUUGUUAAAAACUUAUUACUUGAGUUGAUAUUUUGCAUGACCUCUGUAUUCUAUCUGAUGGAGCUGGAGUUUGCUUACACAGUGUUGUUGUUAUUAAUAUCUAAUAUACUAAAGCUAUGUAGUGGUUGUUUUCCAUGGCAGUGAACGAUAUAUGUGGCAGUAGUCAAUAUUUAUAUAUGAUGCAUAGAUGAUUAUAGGGCAACCUGGUGCAUGUAGCUCCCGCUUGCGCAGGGUCCAGGGAAGGGUCCGACCACUUUGGGUCUAUAGUACGCAGCCUUUCCCUACAUUUCUGUAAGAGGCUGUUUCCAGGACUUGAACCCAUGACCUCAUGAUUAUACUUUAGUAAAAUACAUCAUGAUCAGAAAUUAAUUUAAACAUAAAAUUUGGCCCUGAAUUUUUCUUCUCAUCUAAUGGGGCAUGUAUUUUGAAAGCAAGAAUGCUGUUCUGCUCUAAUAUUUCUUAGAUAGUGGGAGAAAGUCAUGCACAAAUUCAAGGCCAGCAAGGAACAACCUACUGAACGUGGAUGACCACCACUUCUCCGUCCAGGCAACCACCCUAUCCAUGGAGGAUUGACACCCUGUAGUCACGCCAUCUCAGUCCAGACUGCGUCAUGCUCACCUUCAAGAUUGUCGAGGUAAUUGAGAAAAAUUUAGUAGUAUUCAGUCAGUUGAUAGAUUAAAGAGUUCCCCAUAUUCUUUUGAAAAGUUUGCUACACUACUUUGAAAGAUGGUGACGACAUCAGUACAUAAGCAUUCUAGAAGAGAUUGGUAAUCCGGAGCUGCUAAAAGUUCAACUUUCCACAUGCAAGUUCACGGUCACCGCCCCUUGGUCACUGCUAAAAUUUCAACUUAACACAUGCAAGUUCACGGGCACCGCCCCUUGGUCAAUUGGUGGUCUUAUAGCUCAGACAUUUUCCUGUGCAGAGCUAGAUUUUUUAUGUUGCUUGACUCAUGAUGCAUUUAUUACUUUGCACUAGGUAUUGGCUGCUUUGUUGUAGUUACAAGUGUGCAAACUGAAUAUUGCAAGUGAAGCUCAUAAUCAUUAUUGAUAGAUGUUUGACUACUUAGAUUUAAGUUACAAUCAGAGAUGUUGACCUGUGGAUAUUCCUUGAUGCAUUUAAAUAUGUUGUUUGUGGAGACUCCAUAGUGAUUUGCCAAUGUGCGCUGUCAUAACAAAAGCUCCAUCUGUCAUUUAAAUAUGUUGUCUGGUUAUAGUUCUUUGUGCACUUGCUUUACCUCCUCCCAGUCUCCAUGUCCUUUGUUCUUUGUGCUUGCUUCUGUACGAUGUUCCUCUUCAAUUAGGGACGAUGAUGGUAUAACAUUUGUCUCAUUCUGCAAAUUACAUUCACCCUAGAAGUUUUCACUUCAUUUUUUUUGUAGCAUUUGUGGACAACUAACUGAUGGCUACUGUGUUCUGAAUCUUUGGGUUUGUGUAUUUAUCAUAAGUUUGCACCUUACAUUGUACUAUUCUGGCAUGUCCACUUGAUUAAGUGAAACUGUGUCUAUUUCGCAGACAAGAAAAUCCUAUGGGCAUUUUUUUGCCUGACCUCUUUUUGCGCAUCUUGUUUCUGGUGGCUACCUCUUACUGUUGGAUAGAUUAACAUUUUGUUUUGGGUCACUUUAUCUUGAUAGUCUGAUUAAAUUCGGAUGUGUAUGGUAGUUAUAGGAAGGUGACCAAAUGCAUUAUUUGAAUUUAUUCCUUGAGAGCAGGAUUGGUGUUAUGGUUUCAAAAACAUAGAAAGAGUUGGGUUGUUGUUGCUUACUACGAGUAGUUUAGUCAUGUAAUUCAGAAACAUAGAAAGACUAGAGAGUUUGACCGUUGAUCAUAGCACAAUUACGAUGCCUUAAAAACGCCUUGGUGUAUGAUAGAAAAUUUAUUAGGGUUAGCUUUGCCUUAUCAUUUUAGAUAUUUCUGCUGUGCCAAAAUAUCCAUACACAAUUUCUUCACAGAAGUACUUGUGUAAUGUUGAUUUGCAAAGUUACAGGUUCAGUUGUUUUCUUGUUUAGGAGGGGGAAAAACAGAAGUUCCCAUGCACGAACUUGGAUGGAUAAUUGGAAGGUCCAGAUAAGGGGGGCACACUACGCGGAGCUCAACUACAACUUGUCUAUUAUUUUGCAUGGUGGUGAAUAGUGCAGUGAUGUAUUUGUGCACAUACCAUUGAGCUUAGGGCACAUCAGAACAUUUUGACACUUAGCUGCCGUGUUAGAACUCAUGGCUCUUUGACAAGGAUGUUCCUUAUACUAAAGAAUCUGAUGAAAUGUUCCUUUCAUUUUUCUUUGGCACUUAGGUAAAUUGCGUGUGCCAGAUCCACUCACUCAAAGGCCACCAGAUCCACUCACUCACAUGUGCCAGGUCCGGAAAGCAUUAGAUGCCGUGGGAGCCAGCCU
rnacentral:lncRNA from 1 species